rnacentral:rRNA from 1 species
GAUGAACGCUGGCGGCGUGCUUAACACAUGCAAGUCGAACGGAAAGGCCACAGCUUGCUGUGGUACUCGAUUGGCGAACGGGUGCGUAACACGUGGGGGAUCUGCCCUUUACUUCGGGAUAAGCCUUGGAAACUGGGUCUAAUACCCGAUAUGAAUCACAUGAGGGUGUGGGGUUGGAAAGCUUUGGCGGCAUGGGCUGAGUUCGCGGCCUAUCAGCUUGUUAGUGGGGUAAUGGCAUACCAAGGCGUCGACGGGUAGCCGGCCUGAGAGGGUGUACGGCCACAUUGGGACUGAGAUACGGCGCAGACGCGUACGGGCGGCAGCAGUGGGGAGUAUUGCACAGUGGGCGCAAGCGUGAUGCAGCGGCGCCGCGUGCGGGAUGACGGCCUUCGGGUUGUGAACACCUUUCGUCAGGGACGAAGCGAAAGUGACGGUACCUGGAUAGGAAGCACCGGCUAACUACGUG